ensembl:lncRNA
GGGCAGUGUACAGCCAGCUGGUAUGACAAAACAGACAGACAGAAAGAAUAGAGGAAGAAUAUGUAUAUGGUUUCAAUCUGCUCUUGUCUUGCUACACAGAGGACUGGCCCCUAGCAGUCAGGAGCCUCCAACAAGAACCCUUGUUGGAGGAACAGGACCGUUUUUUUCGUUGAUGGACAGGCUGAAAAGCACUUGACCUCUGCUGUCUCCGCUGCAACCAGACGACCUUGGAGAGAGUGAGUUUGUCCACAGUGUCAGGUGAAAAGGUCACUUCCUGCAUGCCGCAUCUCCCCUCAGCGGGAGGAUAAACAUUUGGACCAAGGGGGAUUAGGAUCACAUGACCUGGAAACAUGGCCGCCUGUGUGGGAAAGCAUUGCUGCAGGCCGGACGGAUCUCUGUGGAAACGACCGGGAUCCCUCGAGAAAGAUUUUUCCUGUGUAAACAGACAAAAAAACAGCCACAAACCAUACAACUGGCCAGGGAAAUGGCCUUGGGGUUGCAAUGGCUGCGACCGACGGCAUCGCUCCACCGAGCCAUCUUCCACCGGUUUAUGUCUCUGCCAGAAGCUGUUUUGAAGCUAGAUCUGAAUGAAGCUGAGCCCUCCGUGCUGGACCGGGCCCAGGGAGUAUUUUCGGUUGGAAGCUGAUGAAUAUGUAUGGAACGCUCCAUCCCAAGCCCUCUUCAAACAUCCCCGCGUUUGGAGGUGUCUAAAAGCGUCUCACGGCCGGCAAAACAUCUGUCGGAAGAGUCUCGAAGCCACGGACACAAACAGAGGUUGCUUUGAGCAGCGCAGCCGCUGGGUCUGCCCACUAGUGCUGUGUGUUCUCUGUCACCUCACCAGCUGUAGACAUCCUCCUUCUCCACACUGGGAUUCAUCCAAUGAGGGUAGAAAUGUAACUUUGGAAGUUUAAUUUGAGAAUUGUCUAGUGAAUAUAUUCGUUUCAUAUCGAGUUUCUAUGGACAUAAUAUGGACCAACACUAUAAAUAGCCACACUAUUAAACGUUUCUUUAAUAUAAGCCCUACUAGUAACAAAGGUAUAGGCUUGUAGGCUACAAAUUAGAGAACGAGAAGGCUAAGGGGCUAAUGGAGACGGCCCAUCCCUAGUCUUCUCCUAAAUUAAAGACUUCAUUCACCUUGGAAUGCUCCCAGAAUCAGGUUUUCAUGAUUAUUAUUUUCAUAACUAGAAUUUCUGGCAGGGGAGAGAAGAAAGGCACAAAGGAAUCUAUACCGCAAAGGCCUGAAUGAAAAAAAACGAUUAAGUAAAUUGGGGAACAGAAUGUAUCAAAGUAAAUGGUCAAAUGUAUUUAAGACAUGCCGGGAACUGUAUAAUGCACACGAUAGG